UGUUGCGGAACAGCAGUGGCUGGAGGGGACGGGGAGGGGGAGAUACGGUGCCAGCAUCUUCCGGCGAGGAGCGGAGACGCAGCUUCUCUACUCCGACGCCGAGGUGCGCACGAUGGUGCGGUGCUGCGUCGCAGCGCAUUGUUCGAGCCAGAACAGCAGUAGCCGGAGGAAGGGAGAGGGGAAGACCCGGUGCCGCACAAGGCGGUGGCAUCCGCCGGUGAGGUCAGGAGACCUCCGACGCCGAGAUUCAGGGAUACUAGAUUUGGUCAGGGAUACUGGAUGCACUCUAGUUUCUCUGCGAGAAACAAAAUUGGAUUUGGAGGUAGUGGAAGAAACCCUGGGGUCAGAUUUUGUGAGGAAUUUUGCUCUCUUGCCAGCACAGGGUACUCAAGGAGGGAGCUUUACUGCUGUUCAUGAAAAUUUCUGCUGAUUAUCUAGUUCAGAACCAACCUGUCAGUAUCAGUGCAAGGAUUGCAGCAGCAAUCACACUUUCAGACUGGUGGGUCACUGUAGUGUAUGUGUCACAAGAAGGAGCUAAAAAGCUUGCUUUCUUAGAUGAGAUUAAGCAGAUCUGUAUGAUAGCUUCUGAAAAAAAUGGCAUGCGUCAGUGGGGAUUUUAGGCGCAAGUUAAAAGUAACACAAGUUUGAACCUGCAACUGAUGAGGGGUGCUCAGAAAUGCAAUAGAUGGCUGAGUUUUCUGUUGAGAGGCAGAAAAUUUGCCUGUUCCAAGCCAUUUCCACUAGUGUCUGAUCAUUCACCUCUGCGUUUUGGUAGGAGGUACGGCAUCCAGAAAUUGCAUAGGAUUCAGGUUUGAGCCAUUUUGGCAUAAACUACCUGGGUUCUACGGUUGCAGAGGCUUGGUACAAACAUUUGAUACUACAUAAUCUGUUCCUGUGGCUACAUACCAAGUUUCAGGGAGUUGGAAAAGGGCUCCGGAGUUGAGCCAAAACAAAGAUUAGCCAUAACAAGUUGCUGCUUAUCGUUGCAAAGCCAAUCAUAUGGAUUCUAGGUGUUGUCCUAAGGGGAGAUUUCCCUUGGAAAUAUGUACCUGACAAUAACAGCAAUUGUAAAGCUGAGAGCAAGAUAACACUCUACAGUCUAGAGUUACCUUACUUAAGGCCGGGGAUGUUCAUUCCAAGCUCUUCUUCCUAGCUGUUAGUAGAAGGGGAAAAAAUACUAUUCAGAGCUUAGGGGGAAAAACACUAUUCAGAGUUUAGAUUUGGUUGCAGGCAUGGUCCGUCUGCAUGAGGACAAGGAGAAGGUUCUGCUUGAUCACUUUGGUGACUUACUGUGCACUUCAGUGCCAUGUGAAUUGACUCUGAAUUAGAGAAUCAACAUUCCGAGGCUAAAUAUCUACACUUUAGAAGAGGAAUUUCAGAAGACGUCAAGGAUAUCAUGAUGGGGAUGCAGUUGGAAAAGGCCCAAAGCCAGGAUGGAUUCAUACGAAGAUUCUUCAAGGUUUCUUUGAUCAGCAUAUGCAACAUUUCAAUCUAUUAAAAUCUGCACACAUUGCGCCGCUGCCAAAGACUCCAGAAGCUCAAAAAUGUUUUUCGGCCUAGUAGCCUCCCAUACCUGUCCAAGAUUAUCACCAUGUUGAUGGCAAAUAGGCUUUCAGCUUCCAGGACAUCUGAAUGAACUUUUGUCAACCAAGUACAGUGCCUUCAUCGAAAAAGGAGCAUCAAUGGCAUUUUUUUCUACACCCAAAAGCCAAAACCUAAUUUGUGAGUUGCAUUGCACAAAGCAGCAUAUGCUUCUUUUGAAAUUGGAUGUUUGCAAAGGAAUUUCGAUUAAGUCAAAUGGUCACAUCUGAUGGAGGUUUGGGAGGCAAUGGAUUUUGGACCCAAAUGGAGAAGUUGGAUGAACACUUUACUUUAUAUGGCAAGCUCAAUAGUUUUUCUGAAUGGAGUACAAGGGCGUGGUUUCAAGCAUCAAACUGAGCUUUGCGAAGGGGAUCCUCAAUCCCCACUUCUCUUCUUCUCAGCACUGAAACCUCUGCAGCAACUUCUGGGAGUUGCUGAGCAAGAAUGGAUACUGCAACCAGUUCAGAAUAUAGCAGCGAAACUAAGAGUGAGUCUUUAUGCAGAUGAUACGGCUGUCUCCAGGAUGCAGCCCAUCAAGUCCAUUUCAGUAUUCAACCUCACGAAAUAAUUUGGAGGUAAACGGGAAAUGGUACUUAUCCAACUAAAUCUGCUCACAGCAUCCAACUCCAAGGUACUCAUAGCACAUUUGAUGGUCUAUCGAAUUUGGAAAGCGUGUGAAGAGCGGAAACUAAAGUUCUACACCUGCGUGAUUGUUCAGAACAAGAAUCUUACCGCUGAAAAAUUAAUGUUGAGGAAUUAACCUUGUAAUGAUGUAUGUUCAUUAUUGUAACCAGGCCAGUGAAAACGCUUCACACCUAUGCUUGCUCCGCCCCUUUGCUAGAGAGGUCUGGACUAAGGGCAGUGCAUGGACAAACAGCAGCUCCUUCUCAGUUUACGCUGACAUAGAUGAAAGUGUAGAGCAAUGGUGGCAUAAACUCUUAGCUCCACUGUCUCUGAAGCGGCAUUCUUCUGUUGCAGCAAUCUUGUGAUGUACAUAGCUAGAGGAAUCAACGUGUUUUAGAAGACAGGACUGCAGGAGCUUAAACGGCAGGCAGCUUUUUGGGCUAAUUUGGAGGAGGUGGCCUUGAAAAAGAAUCCUGUGGAGUUCCAAAGACUGUUUAUAAGUUUCUAAAGCGUCUUUUGUUUGAGUUUGAGUAUUUCUGUUUCUUCUGUGACUGCGACAUUGUCAAAUUUCUAUGCUUCCUUCUUAAAUGAUA